rnacentral:rRNA from 1 species
GACGAACCACACGAACGUUAUUCGGAAUUACUGGGCUUAAAGGGUGCGUAGGCGGCGUGGUAAGUUGGGUGUGAAAUCCCUCGGCUCAACUGGGCGGGGUCAGCGGAUACGGCGGAGCUUGAGCAAGCUAGGGGGCAAUGGAAUUCCCGGUGUAGUGGUGGAAUGCGUAGAUAUCGGGAGGAACACCAGUGGCGAAGGCGGUUGCCUGGGGCUUUGCUGACGCUGAUGCGCGAAAGCGUGGGGAGCGAUCCGG